AGCGAACGCUGGCGGCAGGCCUAACACAUGCAAGUCGAGCGGGGUUUUCGGACCUAGCGGCGGACGGGUGAGUAAUGCGUAGGAAGCUACCCGAUAGAGGGGGAUACCAGUUGGAAACGACUGUUAAUACCGCAUAAUGUCUACGGACCAAAGUGUGGGACCUUCGGGCCACAUGCUAUCGGAUGCGCCUACGUGGGAUUAGCUAGUUGGUGAGGUAAUGGCUCACCAAGGCGACGAUCCCUAGCUGGUUUGAGAGGAUGAUCAGCCACACUGGAACUGAGACACGGUCCAGACUCCUACGGGAGGCAGCAGUGGGGAAUAUUGGACAAUGGGCGCAAGCCUGAUCCAGCCAUGCCGCGUGUGUGAAGAAGGCCUUCGGGUUGUAAAGCACUUUCAGUAGGGAGGAAGCGUUGUGUGUUAAUAGUACACAGCGUUGACGUUACCUACAGAAGAAGCACCGGCUAACUACGUGCCAGCCGCCGCCGUAAGAC
rnacentral:rRNA from 1 species